CAUUGAAACCCCGGUUCUCAUCUGAUCACCAAAGUUAAGAAACAUUGAACCUGGUCAGUACCUAGAUAAGUUACCAAUUAGGAAUACCAGGUGCUGAA